rnacentral:rRNA from 1 species
CACGUAGGCACCAAGCGUUGUCCGGAUUUAUUGGGCGUAAAGAGCUCGUAGGCGGCUCGUUGCGUCGGCUGUGAAAACCCGCAGCUCAACUGUGGGCUUGCAGCCGAUACGGGCGGGCUAGGAUUCGGUAGGGGAGACUGGAAUUCCUGGUGUAGCGGUGAAAUGCGCAGAUAUCAGGAGGAAUACCGAUGGCGAAGGCAGGUCUCUGGGCUAACACUGACGCUCAUGCACGAAAGCGUGGGGAGCAAACGGG